GAGAGGGGAAAGGCCUCAAAGCCACAGAAGCUCAGGGCUGUGGCCCGUUGCUGCCCCCGCACAGCCAGCAGGACUAGGGAAAGCUGAAGGCGUCCUCCGUGGACCAGAGAAGGGGCCCUGGGCUGGGAGACGACGAGAGCAGCCUGGGAGAUUGUUCAAAGCCACAAGCAUCCAGAACCCCCUUGGGAGAAGUGGAGGGGUGCCUGGACCCGGCUGCGGGUCCUGGGAGGUGAAGGUGGCCGAGCUUGUCCUGCUAGUGGAUUGUUCACCUCUCCCUGGUUCUUCCAACUGAACUAAAAGAGUUCCGGAAGCUGCUGGGAUGGUCAACAGCAUCCUCUUAGUGCCCAGGAUGUCGUGUAUAUGGAGCUGCUGAGAUUCCCUGAUGCUGUCAGGAUGUGGUGGAAUGUGGAGGUGAAGUUAUCCUCCUUCACAGCUACAGAUUUUCCUUAGCAGAGCUGUGGAGUGUGACAAUGGUGUUUGUGUCCACACUAUCAAACGCCAUUAUCACACUAAAUAGCUACUGUUAGGCAAUCCUUCUGCUCAAUAAAUAUCUUUUUGGUAUGGGCGUGAGGGCUCAUCUGAUAUCAGUGCUAAAAUCGUUUGUAAUUAUUGAAUAAAUUACAUACUCUUGCGCAACAACCAGCACCUGCUGUUGUUAAAUACUUUAGCUGAUGA